CUCGUGUCGUGAGAUGUUGGGUUAAGGUACCCGCCAACGAGCGCAACCCUUACGUGUUUAGUUGCAAACAAGGUCAAGCUGUGCACUCUAGACAGACUGCCGUGGACAACACGGAGGAAGGUGGGAGUGACGUCAAAUCAUCAUGCCCCUUAUGAUCUGGGCUACACACGUGCUACAAUGGCCGGUACAACGGGCAGCGAAGGAGCGAUCCGGAGCGAAUCCUAAAAAGCCGGUCCCAGUUCGGAUUGCAGGCUGAAACUCGCCUACAUGAAGUUGGAGUUGCUAGUAAUCGCGAAUCAGAAUGUCGCGGUGAAUGCGUUCCCGGGUCUU
rnacentral:rRNA from 1 species